rfam:Stagonospora sp. SRC1lsM3a unplaced genomic scaffold IQ06scaffold_5, whole genome shotgun sequence.
AGCUGAGUGGCGCAGCGGAAGCGCGCCGGGCUCAUAACCCGGAGGACAAUGGAUCGAAACCAUUCUUAGCUA